CCAGCCAGCCGGCCCCACGCUCCCCGGCCCCCCUGGCGGGCUCGCUGCCAAGACUCUAUCUAUGCAGAGACGGAGGGAAGUUCAGCAAUGAAGAUGGAAUUCCAUCCUCUGCUCACCCUCUCUGUGUUGUUAUGAGCAAUUACAGAACAUAUGGUAUGUAAGAAUUACCCACUCUUCAGUGAGAUCCCAGCAAAGUCUCAGCAUAACAGGGUGAGCCAGAAGCAG